rnacentral:rRNA from 1 species
AUUGAACGCUGGCGGCAGGCCUAACACAUGCAAGUCGAACGAGCGGCGGACGGGUGAGUACUGUCUGGGAAUCUGCCCGAUGGGGGGGGAUAACUACUGGAAACGGUAGCUACUACCGCAUACCAUCUGAUGUGCCCAGAUGGGAUUAGCUAGUAGGUGGGGUAAAGGCUCACCUAGGCGACGAUCCCUAGCUGGUCUGAGAGGAUGAUCAGCCACAGGGGGACUGAGACAAGGCCGAGAUUCCGACGGGAGGCAGCAGUGGGGAAUAUUGGACAAGGGGCGCAAGCAUGAUGCAGCCAUGCCGCGUGUAUGAAGAUGGCCUUCGGUUUGUAAAGUACUUUCAGCGGGGAGGCGUUACCCGCAGAAGAAGCACCGGCUAACUCCGUGCCAGCAGCCGCGGUAAUAC